UACGUAGGGUCCGAGCGUUGUCCGGAAUUAUUGGGCGUAAAGGGCUCGUAGGCGGUUUGUCGCGUCGGGAGUGAAAACACGGGGCUUAACCCCGUGUCUGCUUCCAAUACGGGCAGACUAGAGGUAUGCAGGGGAGAACGGAAUUCCUAGUGUAGCGGUGAAAUGCGCAGAUAUCAGGAGGAACACCGGUGGCGAAGGCGGUUCUCUGGGCAUUACCUGACGCUGAGGAGCGAAAGUGUGGGGAGCGAACAGG
rnacentral:rRNA from 1 species